UGCUUAUAGGCAACUUCGGGGGUACUCGAGUGGCGAACGGGUGAGUAACACGUGGGUAAUCUGCCCUGCACUUCGGGAUAAGCCUGGGAAACUGGGUCUAAUACCGGAUAGGACCACUUGGCGCAUGCCUUGUGGUGGAAAGCUUUUGCGGUGUGGGAUGGGCCCGCGGCCUAUCAGCUUGUUGGUGGGGUGACGGCCUACCAAGGCGACGACGGGUAGCCGGCCUGAGAGGGUGUCCGGCCACACUGGGACUGAGAUACGGCCCAGACUCCUACGGGAGGCAGCAGUGGGGAAUAUUGCACAAUGGGCGCAAGCCUGAUGCAGCGACGCCGCGUGGGGGAUGACGGCCUUCGGGUUGUAAACCUCUUUCAGCAGGGACGAAGCGCAAGUGACGGUACCUGCAGAAGAAGCACCGGCCAACUACGUGCCAGCAGCCGCGGUAAUACGUAGGGUGCGAGCGUUGUCCGGAAUUACUGGGCGUAAAGAGCUCGUAGGUGGUUUGUCGCGUUGUUCGUGAAAACCGGGGGCUUAACCCUCGGCGUGCGGGCGAUACGGGCAGACUGGAGUACUGCAGGGGAGACUGGAAUUCCUGGUGUAGCGGUGGAAUGCGCAGAUAUCAGGAGGAACACCGGUGGCGAAGGCGGGUCUCUGGGCAGUAACUGACGCUGAGGAGCGAAAGCGUGGGGAGCGAACAGGAUUAGAUACCCUGGUAGUCCACGCCGUAAACGGUGGGUACUAGGUGUGGGUUUCCUUCCUUGGAAUCCGUGCCGUA
rnacentral:rRNA from 1 species